CAGCAGCCACGGUAAUACGUAGGGUGCAAGCGUUAAUCGGAAUUACUGGGCGUAAAGCGUGCGCAGGCGGUUAUAUAAGACAGAUGUGAAAUCCCCGGGCUCAACCUGGGAACUGCAUUUGUGACUGUAUAGCUAGAGUACGGCAGAGGGGGAUGGAAUUCCGCGUGUAGCAGUGAAAUGCGUAGAGAUCUGGAGGAAUACCGAUGGCGAAGGCAGCCCCCUGGGCCAAUACUGACGCUCAUGCACGAAAGCGUGGGGAGCAAACAGGAUUAGAUACCCGAGUAGUCCCUGUCUCUUAUAC
rnacentral:rRNA from 1 species